UGAAAAUUCGUGUUCAGUUCGGAUUCCGUAUUGUGUCUGCGUCAAACUUUUUCAGUAAGAUCGUCUCGAACGCUCCUCGAAGCAUCUUGUAAAUUCUUCAACGCUUCUGCUGUACCCAGAAAUCCCAAACUAAAACAGAAUGCCGGCUCCAGCACCCGCGGAAAAUGGCCCAGCCGUGCCCAAAACCGAGCUACAGGAGAUCCAAAUUAAGCAGCAGCAGGUCGUCGAUGAGUCCCUGGACAGUACCCGGCGCAUGCUGGCGCUAUGUGAGGAGAGCACUGAGGUGGGAAUGCGAACCAUCGUAAUGCUGGAUGAACAAGGAGAGCAACUGGAUCGGAUCGAGGAGGGCAUGGACCAGAUUAACGCCGACAUGCGUGAGGCGGAGAAAAAUCUGAGCGGCAUGGAAAAAUGCUGCGGUAUCUGUGUCUUGCCGUGCAACAAAAGCGCAUCCUUCAAAGAGGACGACGGUACCUGGAAGGGCAACGAUGACGGAAAGGUAGUCAACAAUCAGCCCCAGCGAGUCAUGGACGAUCGCAACGGUUUGGGUCCGCAGGCCGGCUACAUUGGAAGGAUCACAAAUGAUGCCCGAGAGGACGAGAUGGAGGAGAACAUGGGCCAGGUGAACACGAUGAUUGGCAAUCUGCGAAACAUGGCGCUCGAUAUGGGCUCCGAGCUCGAGAAUCAGAACCGACAGAUCGACAGAAUCAAUCGCAAGGGCGCAUCCAAUGAGGACAGGAUAAAGGCGGCUAAUGAAAAAGCGCACUCACUUCUCAAAUAAAAUGGGUACCGAGUAUAUAUAUAUCCGUGCAUAUAUAUAAUAUACACACCUAAUUAUACAUAUAUAUACAUAUACUUGUAUGGUUAUCGUUAUUAUUUUUACUUCCUCCAUUUCGGAUUACGAAACGAGCAAAAUCGAAAAUGGAGAUUCCAACGCCACCAGGAUAGCAUCAGCUAACGAACGAGCUCACGAUCUGCUCAAGUAAGAUGGUACGCUUUCGCAGACGCUAUGUGACGGCUCGGGCAGCUGGCAGACCACCGUAUGGCAAUAGUGCAGCAUGAAACAGUGACGAUAGCAGAACGGCCGUAUAAUUUGUUCCGGGUCCUCAUGUUGGCUGAACGUAGGCAUUUUUGAAGGCAGAGCACGGGCCGAACGCGACUAACAAAGUGAGCAAUGCAAAACAUCAUUGAUCGAGAUCCACCUAAAUUGAGUUGAGCAUGUCGGAAGGGAGAACGCAGGAGAAGACAUACUGCAUAUACAAUUACGGAAUAUACAUACCAUACCAGAGGUGGAGGUAAUUUCAAGUGUCGACUAGACUGCUUCGCAUUUAACAAACCGACGAGAAUGAGUUUCGCACGAAGCUAGCGAAUUAAUUGCAAAACACUGCUGGCCAUUUACAAAUCGAUGCGCAAUACAAGAGGAAAGCAACAAUCCCGAAUACAUUACGCAAACCAUAGACGACGACGCGCCAGUGAUAGAGCGGUGAAAAUGUUACAACGAUAAGCUUAGGUUUCAUUGGGUUGUGCGGUUCUUUACUUCGUAGAUUCGUUUCCUCGUCCUUCAGCAAUGGGACGAGUUGUUCUUUUGCGUGAACAAAACCAAAGGUUAACCAUUUUCAUCUGCUGCGACAGUUCAUCACUUUCGACAUUCUUUUUUUAACACUUCUCUUUUUGAAUGCUGAGUAGGCUUCGUUUCACAUUUCAGGCUACCGGGACCAAAGUAUCCUGUCUUUUUUUGUCGUUCUUAACUGUGAGCUAGUCAAAAGACUGUACAGUGCAAUGAGGCUCACACUUUCGCACCUUUCAUCCUGUAUUGUACCGUAAAGUUGGUAUUUUGUUUGUCAACGUAGGAUAGGAAAAAAAAAUCUUCUUUCCUCUUUGUUCGCGUAAGGAACGCUUUUCCGGUGGGUGAAGAAAAAAGAAAAAGUUUAAAAAAGAUGGUGCAAACAAAGAGAAAACAAAUCGAUGAGCAGCCGAGGCGUGCUAAGAUAGCUCUCUGGUUGAUUGUUCCAGUUUCCGCACGUUUGCUGUGGUGCAUUUUAAUCCAAUAAAGGUAGCGUAGCGUUUAGGGUUUAACUACAGAUUGUGGGCAGCCGAAAAAAAGUAGCAAGAAGCGGUAUAUCGACGCGUGUUGAACAUCCUUUUCCCGCAUGCAUACCAAACGUUUCGUUUUGUUCGUUGGUUAAAGGUAUCAAAGUGGCGUGGUUUGCUUUUCUUCCCCACCGAGACAGAGAGAAAGAGCAAAAGCAACAUGUUUGUAACAAACCAAAACGAACGUUUUACAAAACCGCCACUAACCAAAAUAUGAAAGAGGCUGACAUCGCUAUUACGCAAACACUUCCUUGGUUGGAGUUAGAGCUGAUGUUAAACAACACACAGAACGUUGCUUUAUGUGAAGGACUCGCAGAAGACGCAUAGGAAUGUGUUUCAAUUAUGAAAAGAAAUUUCUUUGCGAACAAUCUACUCUGCGGGAAGAAAAGAACGGAAAACAACAAACCUUACUGGACGGAAACGUCUUGGGGUCGAUUUUAACGUAACAUUCGAUGGUCCUUACAGUGCUUACCAAUAACCAACUACUCUAACUACCCGCCCUAUUCUAUUUGCUAAUACUCUCUCUGUGUGUCUCACUGGAAAGUUCGAUCAGCAGGUUCGAUAUGUGUGUGUAUUGUGAAACUGCAGGGCAGCAACAUGUUAUUGCAAACUAGCUGAUAGGCGCCUUUUACUAGUACUACAGCUAAUUUAUUUGAAACGACCCGAUGUGUUUUUUUUAGAAAUUGUUCUCUCAUUCCCCACCGCUGGCCUAAUUUCUAGGCAGUGUUAGUGACAAUGCUUGCUGCUUAAUGAUGUUUGGUGGAGGUUCUAACGACAAGAUGUGAGUUGUUUUAAAACUGUGACCCACAUUGUUUUACUGGUGACAGAUAAUCGAAGCGACCGAUGAAAAAGGCUUUAAUAUGCAAGGACAUCCGCUUCCGCAGGAUGUACGCCCUAGAAGGUACUUGGUAACGAAAAAUAAAUAGUUUCGCUAUGCUUGGAGUUUACUCAUUCGGUGCCCGCCAAGAGAUAGUUUGGCCAUUUUCUGGGUAGCUCUCGUUGCGAUAGUUCUUAUUGGCAUUUCUAGCAUUGGCGAUGAAUAGCCAGCACUCAAACGUAGAAUUUCAGCACCACCGGUACGUGCCGGUUACGAGCAGAGCGUUAGCUGUAGAUGAUCCAUUUCCACUUAACCCGGGAGCAUCGGUUUGGAUUUAAAAUCGAGGGAAGAAAAUCGAGUGUGUUUGAUUUUUUUUUCUCGCGACACCUUUGAAUGCACCGGUUCAAUUUCAAUCUCCUACCUAGCAUCAAUCUCAAUGAAAUGAUCACGAAACGAACAGAAAACAAAACAAAAGCGACACAUAAGGGAAUACGACGUACCGAAAACAGGCCACCAGCAGUAACCUAAUCCACAGCAAUCCCCCCCGAACAUUCAGCGGCGGUUGGGAUAUUUAAAAAAACAAGAAAAUUACCUUACAUUAAAAGACAAACGUACUUUAAAUAUAAAUAUACAAACUUAUUAUACAUUAUAAAUGAUACAUUAUUUACUUAGCCUCUCGAAAGCAAGUAAAUGUGCAAUGGAAGCGAUAAUAUCAUAUCAAGCGAACGGUGUGAACGCAAUCAAACGGAAUAUGAUGAUAAACAUGAGUUAGGAAUGUUAAUUGAGAUUGAAAAGAAGCAAAAGAGCAACACUCACCCGAAGGCGAAACGUGUAUUACAAAGCAAGCAAAUACAUUGGCAAGCAUAUGGAGCAUUUAAACCAAAAGCAUCACCUUAAGAAGUGAAGCAAAGGGAGUAGCUUAGUGAGCAAAUGGAAGAAACAACACGUCCUACGUACGAUGCUGACAAAAUGAUGAUGAUGAUUGCAAUAUUAUUGCGGUGUCCUACCGAUCAAAGAGGCUUGAUUGAUAAACAAAAGAAAAAAAAAACGCAUUAAUCCAAGGAUAUGUGUAGCAGUCCAAGUAACGAACAAACUUUAUCAUAUACCAAAAUACUGUUGGGCUUACAGACAGCGACAGAACACUGAACACAGAACACACGCGUUCAAGUAUAUACACUCAUUAUUAUGUUUGAACUAAUGACGUUGAUUGACUAGAUUCAUCAGCAAUAAUAAACAAUUGUGAUAAUACAAUACACGAGAAGCAAAACACAAGUGAACAAGGAGAGGGAAGGGUAGAAAAUGAAACCAAAUGGAAGGAGAAAAAGGAUCCGCAAAAGCGAUAGAAGCACAGGAUAAUGGUAGGAGCAGCGAGGCGAUAGGCAAUUCCAACACGAACAACUACUCCAUCGGUUCGCCAUGAGCGUAGGUGAUGAGUUCAAUGUGAAGGGAAUGUUAUACAGAACACAGGCAAGGGACAACAAAAAGUUAGAACAAGGUAAUGGAGUGGCAGGAUAAGUGGUGGAAUACUUAGAGGUUCAUUUUCUUCGGAGCUGCAUGCCGAGAUCGAUAGUCGAUCGCGGAAGUUAAGCGUCGAAACGCACGCCUUUUUCCGGAAGGGUCGCAGCAUAUUUCGUUUUCCAAUGUGAACGCUUCGAUGGCGGAACAUUUAACAAAAUUAAAGCAAUUUUAAAGUGUAACUGUCUCCCCGCAUGGGAUGUUGUUUACAGUUUUCUUCGUUCUUCAAUGUUGUUACUAUCGAUGGAAAUUGUGUCAGAUGGAGGUGUGAUAGUUGUGUUGAAGUAAACCUAGCAAUAGCAACAAUCUAUCUCAUCCACGCUGGAUGUGGCUCGUUGAACAGUUCGUGAUGUUUGCACAUGUGUUAUAAGUUCGCAGCAAUGUUGAUAGCGAUGCUCUAUCCGGACUGGGGUGAUUAUUUCUUCCGAUCCUUACAGAAGUUACCUUCUGCCUCACAGUACCACACUUUUGUGUAGAACAACAAUUAAUGCACCAACCAACCAACAUCUUCCAGUAACCGGUCAUAAUCUGCACCCACAACUAAUGUUUGCUAGUCGUUUACUUCAAUCCCCUCAAGAACCCAAUCCGCAUGUAAUUGAACCGGUGGUGCAGUCGUGCACCUAGUCGUGGGCUAGCCUAAGGGGGUGGCGACGGGGCUGAGGGGAGCUGCACUCCUUAUUGCCUCAAGACGAUAUUAUCUGUUGAUCCGUUGUUGCUCCUAAUGGAACUGAAUAGAUACAAAUAUUGCAAAUUCAGAUAAAAUGUGUCCAGAAACAUUCGAUGCAAGUAUAAGACGUGAUACGUUAGAGGUGGCAUUUAAAAAAACAAAACGCAGGAAAAGAAAACAAUGAAACAGGCAAAGAGUAGUGGAACCGAACAAAAGAACAGACGAAAACACCCAACAUUAGAUAAAGCAAACUACAUCUCUUAAUACCUAGCGAUCCUCUAUCGGCACUAAAAGCGAACAAGUAAAGGGAAAACGCAGUCAUACCAUCUCUUGUUGUCUCUUUAAUAAAAAAAACUCUACGUGUGUAUAAAACGAAUAAAAAGGAAGGCAAAACUCCAAACUAUUACCAUUAAUUCUGAACAGCAGCAAACAAUUAUACAGUAAGUAAACGCAGCGCCUCUUGCUAAGCAGUAGCAGUAGCGUCCUCUCUUUGAUAUAGGUUUUGGCGAUGUUUUCUACUGAUUUGUCUUUCCGCGCUUACUCAAUAUAACUAACGAAGCUACGCAUAAACCAACACUCUUCUCAAUAGAAUUGGCAAAAGUGAACGAAGGCACAGGAAAGGAAAAUAGAUGGAAAAACAAAACGCAACUACCAUUAAAAGAGAAAAGGGUAUAUGAAGAGAAGAAUUGAACAAUUAUGGGGGAAAGAUGGUCGACAACAGGAAUGACGAAGAAACAAAACAUAAAAAAUGCAAAAGUUUACGAAAUGUUAUCUAGUUAAGUUUGGCUACAAAGAAAAUUACUCUUAGCGUAAAUGAAUUCGAAAAAUUGUAAAUAGGAAAAAACACACGCUCAUACACACACAAGUACAUUCGUACAGAACACAAGAACACAUCGGGAAGAUAUUCUAACGGAUCGUCUCACGCAAACAAGAAACGGCACAUACGACAGCAACAAACAAGCAUUUCUAACGUUGACUCUUGUUGCUGCUAAAAAAAUGAUAACAAGACCCGAAAAGAGGAAAGCUGUAAACCAUCUGAUUCUUCGUAGAAGAACUAUGGUGGAACUUAUUUUAUUCCUUUCACAUUAUACAAUACAAUAGUAGUGUGGUUUGUUGUAUGUAUAUUGAACUAGUUUUAAUAAUUUAUAUGCACUCAGUGCGAUUGUUCUUGUUUCUUGCUUUCAAAGUUCAAUUUUUGCUAAAAAUGGACGCGUCCGACGAGAGGAACGACCGUGCUCGAAAGUAUAAAAACAUAAAUGAACAAGAGUUCAAUGAACACACACGACAAAAAAACGGCCAAAACAUUAGACAAGGAUAACCAACCAACACAAGAACACUUUAUGCAUAUAAUGUUGCAUAGACAAAUUGCACCCAAAACCAAGUGAUCAAUGUGAUGCGAGUUCUUAUUCUUCGUUCAAUUGUAAUGUUAUGUAAAAUAUUAAAUUUUUUUAACUUGCUGUAAUUUGUAUUAAUAUCAAAAUUGAACAAUUUGAACACGAAACGAUUUAAUUAAAUUAGGAGCUUUAUCGAUCAUGAUAAGUUGUUGGUUUUGUUAUAUUGCAUUGUCCUGUUCGGGUUUGAGUUUCACGUCAUUUUCCUCAUGAUGUGAUGUCGUCAAAUGUUUAAAACAAGGACGAGAACAUGAAAAACUUACAUCAUGGAAAGCGUUACCGCGAUCGUUUCUAUGGCGACUGUGACUUGGGUGUGUGCGGUGGCAAUAACUGCUAACGUUUGUACAUAAAAAUGUUGGAUUUGAGGGAGAUCUGACCAUUAUCCCGACGCAAUCAUCUCCCAAUUCUUCAGCGUUCGCUUUUUACGUCGUUUGGUGAAUUGGUUGCUUCAUUGCUGCAAAUAUGUUUGUGUUUCUUCUAUUCCAAAUAUAGUGCACGGGUAGAAGAUAACACACAGCGCACUCGCUUUCACAUUUCACAACACACUUACAAAAUACACCCGGACACAUUCGCAUCGCAUGCAUCUACAAGGGUGGGAGGAAGGGAUAAGAGACAAAAAAAGCUUUUUUGGUAUAUUUCGUAUAAGAGCAAAUUUUCAAACAAAUAACAGAUACUAAUUCAAAAUUGAUAAUCCAACCAGAAGAAAAAAAACCAAUGCGUAUAAACUAGCUGCAGAUUAAUUGAAACUGUAUUACGGUUAAUACUUUUUAAAAAUGUAUUUCAAGUAUCCUGUAAAAAUAAAAUGAUUAUAAUGGA